UACAGAGGUCUCGAGCGUUAGGCGGAAUCACUGGGCUUAAAGCGUGUGUAGGUGGAUGCCUAAGUACCUUGUGAAAUCCCACAGCUUAACUGUGGAACUGCUUGGUAUACUGGGUCGCUUGAGCCACUUAGGGGCUACCGGAACAAAUGGUGGAGCGGUGAAAUGCGUAGAUAUCAUUUGGAACGCCAAUGGUGAAAACAGGUAGCUGGGAGUGUGCUGACGCUGAGACACGAAAGCCAGGGGAGCAAACGGG
rnacentral:rRNA from 1 species